AAAGGAACAGGGUUUGUGUGUCAAUGGGCCAAUGACUCCACGAAAUUCCGGUCUUGCGCGUUGUUGCAACUUGUACAUCCGGCGCCGGCGCUUCGUGGCUGCUGUGACUGAUCGAAGUUGAAACCACAUGCUGGGCGUUAUUAUAUUGCUGGGUACUUCACUCACACGACAUUGCAGCGGCCGAUUGCGCGGUGCAGCAGGGCCAUAGGGUUUUGCAGAACCAUACUCGCUGAGAAUUAAGGUGGCGACCCGUUCACGAUAUGUUUGCAUAAGCUGUCAGACAUAGAAAUAAAUUCGAAAACUGCAAACAGCUGCUACAAGAUAAAGAUGACAGCUGGAUCUGUGAACAAUAUUGGAUGCAAGAGAAUAAGAAAAAACAGAACAAUGAAAACUGGUCUUCUAUAUGAAAAGCAUUAUCUAAAACAACGUCAUUCGCGUCAUCAAAAAUCGUUAUUUUGAGUUUUGAGUUGUUUUCAAUCAGCUAUGAGGUAGAUUCGAAUACUACUACGUUGCUAUUGUUGUCCAGAUUUUGGAAUGUAGCUCAAAAAAGAAGGUCUGUGGUGGUUCGCAACUGGUUGUCCAAUUGUGAAGGCGUUUGCGCUUAGUUGGUAUUCGUGAAUUUUGAAGUUGAUGUCAAAACUAUGUACCAAAAGGAAAUGUUUUAAAAUUAUUUAUGCAAGUUAAUUAAUUGUGUUGUACUGACAGCGUCUAAUAGAAGUCGUAAUUCGUUGUCCAUUUGUCAAGACGUCUUGUGUAAUUGGUAUUCGUCAUUACCAUUCAUCUCUUGCAGUCGAAAUAAAGUUAGACUGAAAAAAAAUGUUUUAAAAUUAUUCAUGCAAGUUAAUUGAUUGUGUCGUUCUGAUUCUGGUCUGGUAUUUGCCAUCUUGAACCUGAUGUCCUAUUUUAAAAUAAAACUAAAAAGUGAUGAUGUUUAAGGAAUAUUAAUUCAAGUUCUGGAUUCUGGAAUACAUCUAAUAGAAGUGGUUCGUAAUUCGUUGUCCAUUUGUCAAGACGUCUUGUGUAGUUGGUAUUCGUCAUUACCAUUCAUCCCUUGCACUCGAAAUCAAGUUAGACUGAAAAAAAAUGUUUUAAAAUUAUUCAUGCAAGUUAAUUGAUUGUGUCGUUCUGAUUCUGGUCUGGUAUUUGCCAUCUUGAACCUGAUGUCCUAUUUUAAAAUAAAACUAAAAAGUGAUGAUGUUUAAGAAAUAUUAAUUCAAGUUCUGGAUUCUGGAAUACAUCUAAUAGAAGUGGUUCGUAAUUCGUUGUCCAUUUGU